UACGUAGGUGACUAGCGUUGUCCGGAUUUACUGGGCGUAAAGAGCGCGCAGGCGGUCGUUCAAGUCGAGUGUGAAAGCCCCCGGCUCAACUGGGGAGGGUCACUUGAUACUGAUCGACUCGAAGGCAGGAGAGGGAAGCGGAAUUCCCGGUGUAGUGGUGGAAUGCGUAGAUAUCGGGAGGAACACCAGUGGCGAAGGCGGUUGCCUGGAGCUUUGCUGACGCUGAGGCGCGAAAGCGUGGGGAGCGAUCCGG
rnacentral:rRNA from 1 species